rnacentral:rRNA from 1 species
UUUUAGAAAAUAAUUUAAGGUUGAAUNUGCCCCCUGAUUAAAUAAUUAAAGGGCUGCAGUAUAUUGACUGUACAAAGGUAGCAUAAUCAUUAGUCUUUUAAUUGAAGACUUGUAUGAAUGAUUUGAUGAGAUAUAAACUGUCUCUUUUUUAUAAUUAGAAUUUAAUUUUUUAGUAAAAAAGCUAAAAUAAAUAUAAAAGACGAGAAGACCCUAUAGAGUUUUAUAAAAAUUUUAAUUUAAAAUUUAUAUAAAAAUUAAUUAAAAAUUAAUUUAUUUAUUUUAUUGGGGUGAUAAAAAAAUUAAAUAAACUUUUUUUUUUAUUAAACAUUAAUAAUUGGUUGCAUGAUCCAUAAUUUAUGAUUAAAAGAAAAAAUUACCUUAGGGAUAACAGCGUAAUUUUUUUUUUUAGUUCUUAUAAGAAAAAAAGUUUGCGACCUCGAUGUUGGAUUAAGAUAAAAUUUAAAUGUAGAAGUUUAAAAUUUUUGAUCUGUUCGAUCAUUAAAAUC